rnacentral:tRNA from 1 species
AAUUAAUGAGCUUGAUAAAGCAUAUACUUUGAAAGUAUAAUAUAGAAAUAAAACUUUCUAUUAAUUU